rnacentral:rRNA from 1 species
UACCAGCACCCCGAGUGGUCGGGACGUUUUAUUGGGCCUAAAGCAUCCGUAGCCGGUUCUACAAGUCUUCCGUUAAAUCCAGCUGCUUAACAGAUGGGCUGCGGAAGAUACUAUGGAGCUAGGAGGCGGGGAGGCGCAAGCGGUACUCGAUGGGUAGGGGUAAAAUCCGUUGAUCCAUUGAAGACCACCAGUGGCGAAGGCGGCUUGCCAGAACGCGCUCGACGGUGAGGGAUGAAAGCUGGGGGGAGCAAACCGGG